UCGCCGCACACCGGGCUCCCCCGGGCGGGCAGGGCAGGACGCAGGCCUCCCCCGGCACACACGAGUCCGCCACCCCCAGGGCCCUCAACUGACCCACCACUUUCCUGCGCAGGGUUUCUCGACCAGUUCCGCGUUUCCGCGGCUGCGGCCCGAGCAACCCUGACUCCUCAGACGCGGGAGUGAAGCCGCAAUCGGGGCAAGGCGGGCACCCCCCUGGCUGCACAAGGUGCCCCAACUCUAGCCGCUCGGCCACCUUCUACACAACACAGCGAGGGCCAGGACCGGAUCUCCAACUUUACGAUGUAAAAGUGAAGACCAGGCUGUAAGGAAAGAGGACAGAAGACACCAUGAGAUCUUAAAUAAUUUCCACCCCGUUGACAGUAUGCCCGAGAGGGUGAUACCUUUGUGUGUGGCAGAAACACUGACAGAUGGGUGACUCUUCAUGAUGUCUCCUCCCUUUCUGAAGCAACUUGGAUUAAAAGAACCCUGUCUUCAGCUGAGAACAUAUCAGUACAGUGUCUGUUGCUGCCGCCUUUUGUAUGAUCCGUAUGAAGAAGUACAGAGCAAAAGCAGACUAGGAAUCCAACAUCUGAUGUCCUUUUCUAUAAAAAUAAUGUGUGUAUUUCACAGAUCCUGUUCUUCAUGCCAAGUACAACCUUGAUUUACUCUGACAUUUUGAGAUGAAUGAUAGAGUAGCAUAAUGUGAAGUUGCUUCAUGCCACUGUCAGAAAAAUUACAAGGGCUACGACUUGUUUUUAACUUUAACUUGUGGAUGAGGUUAAAGUUUCAAAGUGGACAAUUUUAAAAAGAAAAAAAAAAAAAAAGGAAAGGAGGCAGAACCUACAAAAUUACAGAUGACUAGAAAAGCACCAGCAAAAUGCUGUAGCCCUGUAAGCUAUAACACUAUGUCCACUAUGGCUCUGUGGACAACAAAGCAUGCCAGACCAGUUAAAUCUCUGAAGAUCUUCUUACUCUCUACCCACAAGACCUGUUACUCUGUAAUAGAUCUCCACCUAGCAAAGUUGUUUAAACCAUCUCGAAGAAAAGUUCUUGCAGGGAAGGUGACAUGAAUUAAACUGCUGGUGACAGGAUGCGAAGUUGUACCUGGUGAGUUGUUCUAGUUUCAGAAUAAAAGAACAGAUGUGGUAUACCCGCA